rnacentral:lncRNA from 1 species
AAUUUUUCAAAAGUCAGAAGUAAUUAAAAAUUAAUUAAAACAAGUUAAAAAUCACAAAAUUCACCAAAAAUAUUAAACUUAAUCCAAAAAUUAAUUUUAAAUCAUAAAUGGGAAGAAGAAAAUAUUUAUGAAUUUUUUGUGUUGGUCCCAUAAUUUUUGAAUCAAAAAUGAAUUUCUAGUUAAUUUUGGAAGAAAAGGCUAUUUAAAAAUAAUUUUAGAAAAAUAAAAUAAAA